rnacentral:rRNA from 1 species
GACGAACGCUGGCGGCGUGCUUAACACAUGCAAGUCGAACGGAAAGGCCCUGCUUUUGUGGGGUGCUCGAGUGGCGAACGGGUGAGUAACACGUGAGUAACCUGCCCUUGACUUUGGGAUAACUUCAGGAAACUGGGGCUAAUACCGGAUAGGAGCUCCUGCUGCAUGGUGGGGUUGGAAAGUUUCGGCGGUUGGGGAUGGACUCGCGGCUUAUCAGCUUGUUGGUGGGGUAGUGGCUUACAAAGGCUUUGACGGGUAGCCGGCCUGAGAGGGUGACCGGCCACAUUGGGACUGAGAUACGGCCCAGACUCCUACGGGAGGCAGCAGUGGGGAAUAUUGCACAAUGGGCGGAAGCCUGAUGCAGCAACGCCGCGUGCGGGAUGACGGCCUUCGGGUUGUAAACCGCUUUCGCCUGUGACGAAGCGUGAGUGACGGUAAUGGGUAAAGAAGCACCGGCUAACUACGUG